ACGUUUGUAGAACUGAAACUUCCUUACCGACGUAGCCUGCGAAAGAUAAUCCUGUAUUUAAUAAGAACGAAGUACCCAAGCGCAGGCGCUCACGAAAUAAAACAAAAUUGAUUUUUUUGCCCGUUACUCCUAAAAUUAAAUUACUUUCAGCGAUAACGAAAGGCCUUCAGGGUGCAUUUAUAUGGCCGGCGGCCGAACGAGCCGUUGCACCCAUUAGAAGUGCGACGGUUGAAAAUGGUAUAUCCGAAGGACAGGUUGUUGAACGCGCGCCAUAUGAAAACUUGGAAUCACCUUUAAACGAUAAAACGGAUGGGAGAGCACAGAUGCGGAGGAAGUUACGACCAUGAAUUAUUGCUCUCGCGGAGAGGAACACCAUUUGGCACGUUCACGAGCGCGUUGCCGAUAUCUUCAGUGUCUACUGUAUCGUUCGUCAUCCACUUUCUUCGAAACUUGACGCUUUCUGCUCCUUAAUCGCAUAGUCGAGUUCAUUCAAAUUGUACGCGGAUAAGAAUGACCCAAGUAACGAGUCUACUCGAUAUUAUUAGUAAAGUAUUAAUAACAUUUAAUAAUAACAAUAACGAUUAUAAUUGCCUAACGAUAGUUAUCGCAUUUGAAAUCUCUUUUGUUCAAAUAUAUUUGCCAAAUGAAACAGUGGCGAAUGCUACUAUGAACGCUAGUCGACAUUUUGUGUUCUCAUUUUUCCACUAGUUUGCGAGACAUUUAAACACGAUUUGUUAUGGAAAGGAACGUUUUAAACUUUCCAAAACCACGAGGAAAACAGAAAAUAAUGUAGCUUUUUGUACGUUGGUUUGAAGGCAAAUAAUAAUUGUUGGUCCUGGUACGGUGAGCUUACGCCUCGAAUCUCUUCUCACAAUGGCGACGCUUAAUACUACGUGGCUCUUAAGACAUGAUGCGUGGAAGUCUCGAAGCUCGCGAUCCUUUGUGACAACUACUUUUCUUAGCGCCUAUGCCCGUAGGACCGGCUACAAGGUCCUAGCAUGGCAUUGUCAAGACUGGAUUCGAAGGUCAGGACGAACGGCUCGCGUGAGCGACCUUCCCCUCUACUCACCGUUUUUCGUUUACCGGAAAAAGAGAUCUCUCUCUCUCUCUCCCUCUCUCUUUCUCCUUCUCUGUUUGUUAUUGUAAAUAGAAAGAACGUGAAUAAAGGUUAUAUACAAAUA